rnacentral:rRNA from 2 species
GAUGAACGCUGGCGGCGUGCCUAACACAUGCAAGUCGAACGGAGAUUUAACGCUGAUGAGGCUUCGGCGGAAUCUUGUUAAAUCUUAGUGGCGGACGGGUGAGUAACGCGUGGGCAACCUGCCUCGUACUGGGGGAUAACAGUUGGAAACGACUGUUAAUACCGCAUAAGCGCACGGUACCGCAUGGUACAGUGUGAAAAACUCCGGUGGUACGAGAUGGGCCCGCGUCAGAUUAGCCAGUUGGUGGGGUAACGGCCUACCAAAGCAACGAUCUGUAGCCGGACUGAGAGGUCGGACGGCCACAUUGGGACUGAGACACGGCCCAAACUCCUACGGGAGGCAGCAGUGGGGGAUAUUGCACAAUGGGCGAAAGCCUGAUGCAGCGACGCCGCGUGAGUGAAGAAGUAUUUCGGUAUGUAAAGCUCUAUCAGCAGGGAAGAAAGACUCGUAAGAGAGAUGACGUAC